UGGCUCGUAACUCAAACGGUUAGAGUAAGCGCCUUUUAAGCGCUAAGUUGUGGGUUCGAGUCCCACCGAGCCAA
rnacentral:tRNA from 1 species